UCGUAACAAGGUUUCCGUAGGUGAACCUGCGGAAGGAUCAUUGUCGAUGCCCGACCGACCGAACGACCCGCGAACCCGUCAUCGCGUUUCGGGGGGCGGAGCGCGGGCGCCCUCGGCUCCCCGCGUUCCCCCUCCCCUCGGGUCUCUCGGGGGUGCGGACGAGAACCCUCGCCCGCUCCUCGGGGACCCGUAACGAACCCACGGCGCGGGCUGCGCCAAGGAAAACUCUAACGAGAGACGGAGGGAGCGCUCCCGUCGCCCCGGAGACGGAUCGGCGCCCGGGACGCGUUCCCCUUCUUUCGACGAAAGAUCCGAAACGACUCUCGGCAACGGAUAUCUCGGCUCUCGCAUCGAUGAAAAAUGCGAUACUUGGUGUGAAUUGCAGAAUCCCGUGAACCAUCGAGUCUUUGAACGCAAGUUGCGCCCCAAGCCUUUAGGCCGAGGGCACGUCUGCCUGGGUGUCACGCAUCGUCGCCCCUCCCCAGCCGACCCCGCCCCGCGGGGCCUGGCUGGACGGGCGGAGACUGGCCUCCCGUGCGCUCCCGCUCGCGGUUGGCCCAAAUACGAGUCCCUCGGUGACCGUGCCGCGACGAUCGGUGGCGGAACCAGCCCCUCGAGUUCCCGUCGCGCGCUCGCGUCCCCGUGCCACGGGCUCGCCGACCCUAGAUCGGGCGCGUCCCCUCCUCGGGGGGACGGCGCUCGCCUUGCGACCCCAGGUCAGGCGGGAAUACCCGCUGAGUUUAAGCA
rnacentral:sRNA from 1 species